CACAAAGGAGGAAGGAAACAGCCGAGAAGCGGCGCGGAGGGAACUGAAAAGACUAAGACGCGAAUCACUGGCGGAGGGAUACGUUCCCAUGGCAACGCCAAGAGCUCGCCUGUAAGCCCGCCCCCUUCCCUUUCCCUGUGCCCUCCUUAAUUUCCUCCUUUCUCCGUCAACGCUUUCGUUUUCCCCAAUCUGGGAACCCUCAGCCCUGGUAAUCUUACUGCAGGUGCACAAGACCGGGUUUAUGAAAGGCUGUAAAAUUUAACCGCUGAUGUUGCAGCCGUCGCCGCCUUUCUGCUGGGGGACCUGGCCUAGACUGCUACUCAUUGAUCUUCGGGGCUCGUCAGAGGUAAUCGGGAGUUUGGCCAGGGUGAGAACUCCAUGAACCCCGCCGUUGUGAGUAGUGGUCUCUGCACCACAGGCCUCUAAAGGGGUGACGCCCGCAAGGGACCGCCCGCCCUGCACCGACCAUCCAGCCACUUCAGAACCAGCCACCAGUGUUCAGCAACACGGCCCGAGUUCUUGGAGAAAAUACCGUUGCACAGAAACCUUAAGAACGUUUCAGCAUGUGAUUUUGGGAUUCCUGGGGAUUUACUUUUCAUGAAGAAACUUUCUUUUUCUGAGUUUUUGUGUUAUAUGUGUCAGAUUAUUUUUCUCUGUGUGGACUGGGUCAAAGAAGAAAAGUGACAAUUUCCCUUACUGAAGUCAUCGAGUGAAGAGACAAAAACAUCUUAGGAGUGGCCACUUAAGGCUGGUCACCACCACGUUCCGGAGUUUCUUCCCCAGCUUUGAUGAAACUUCAAUUUCGUCCAUGCGCUGGAUCAUAUCAAAUUUUUAGCAAAUGACAAAGAUUAGUCAACCUACUGCUACUCCUCCUACUACUAACAUUUAUUGAACACUCAGUGUGCUAGACACCGUGCAAUGUUAUAUACUUGGUUUACCUCAUCCAAUCCUAACGACUCUCUGAAAUAGGUACUAUUAUUAAACCCCAUUUUGCAGAUAAGGAAGCUGAAGUAUCAGGAGAUAAAAAACGUGGUUAAGGGGCUUCCCUGGUGGCGCAGUGGUUGAGAGCCCACCUGCCGAUGCAGGGGACACGGGUUCGUGCCCCGGUCCGGGGAGAUCCCACAUGCGGAGCGGCUGGACCCGUGAGCCAUGGCCGCUGAGCCUGAGCGUCUGGAGCCUGUGCUCCGCAACGGGAGAGGCCUGAACAGUGAGAGGCCCGCGCACCGCGAUGAAGAGUGGCCCCCGCUCGCCACAACUAGAGAAAGUCCUCGCACAGAAACGAAGACCCAACACAGCCAAAACUAAUAAAUAAAUAAAUUUUUUAAAAAAUAUUUUUUAAAAAGAAAAAAUGUCUAACCUUACCAAAAAUGCAAAUUAACACAACAUGCUAUUUUUGUCAGGAGUGCAGUGAAAUUGGCACUUACACAGACUAAUGGGAAUGUGAAAUAAUACAUUUGAGGGGGUCAAUUUGGCAAUGUUUUAAAAUUAUUAAAUUGUACGUAUAUUUUGGCCUAGCAAUCUUAUUUCCUAGAAUUCAUUCUAGAAUUAAUCAUAGAUAUGCAUAAAGAUUUAUAUGCAAAAAUGUUGGUAGGAUCUUAUUUAUAAUGUCAAAAAUUGGAAAUAGCUUGAAAAUCAAACAUAAGGGAUUGGUUAAAUGUUAUGGCACAUAAAUUUGUUACAUAUGUUAUGGCCAUUAAAAACCACAUUGUAGGGGCUUCCCUGGUGGCGCUAGUGGUUGAGAGUCCGCCUGCCGAUGCAGGGGACUCGGGUUCGUGCCCCGGUGCGGGAAGAUUCCGCAUGCCGCGGAGCGGCUGGGCCCGUGAGCCAUGGCCGCUGAGCCUGCGCGUCCGGAGCCUGUGCUCCGCAACGGGAGAGGCCACAACAGUGAGAGGCCCGUGUAUCACAAGGAAAAAAAAAAAAAAAAAACACCACAUUGUAGGGGCUUCCCUGAUGGCGCAGUGGUUGGGAGUCCGCCUGCCAAUGCAGGGGACAGGGGUUCGGGCCCUGGUCCAGGAGGAUCCCACAUGCCGCGGAGUAGCUAGGCCCGUGCGCCACAGCUGCUGGGCCUGCGCUCUGAGCCUGCGAGCCACAACUACUGGGGCCCGCGCGCCUAGAGCCUGUGCUCUACAGCAGGAGAGGCCACCACAAUGAGAAGCCUGCACCCAGCAGCGAGGAGUGGCCCCCGCUCACUGCAGCUAGAGAAAGCCCGCGUGCAGCAGCGAAGACCCAAUGCAGCCAAAAAUUAAAUAAAUGAAAAAAUAAAUAAAUUUUAAAAAUUUACUUAAAAAAAGCACAUUGUAUAAGACUUUAAUGUCAGAAAAAUGUUAAUGGUAUAUAGUUAAGUAGGAAAGCAGAUUUCAAAACAAUGUGCAUGCACAGAAUAAUUCUGGUUUUGUAAAAAUCAUUAAUAAAAGUAAUUUAAGUUUUAUUUUAUUUUUCUGUAUUUUACAGUUUUCUAUAAUUUUUCUUUUUAAAGUGAGAGGCUUGGAGACAGACGAAUUCCAAGUUUGAACUGAGAAUCACUGUUUAGUAGUGUUAAUUGGAACAUGUUACUAUACUUGUCAUUCUAGGCUCAGGAUUUCACAGAAGAAAAUGGAGGUUUUAAUGAUGCUAUCUGUGGGUGGGUGGUAUUAUGAAUGUAGUUUACAUGAGUUUUAGUUAUUUAAAAAUUUUUUUCUGUUAUGACCUGUAUUACUUAUAAUAAAAAAUUAAAUGUAAUCUUAAAUAUAAAUAUAAAUAUCUUAAGUGGAAGUAGUAACGGGGGAAUUAAACAGGAUAGUUAAUAUGGGAAGAAUCUAGCAUUAAUAUGUAUACUCCCAAACUGUUAACUGUGGUUGCCUCUGGGAAGUGGAAUUUGGUUGAAGACAGAAAGGAGCCUUCGUCGUUUAACUGUACAGCAUAGUCUUCUGUAUUGUUUGAAGAUUUUGUGUUUUUUUAAGCAAAUAUAGUACUUUUGUAAUAGUGCUUCAACAUUAUAAUAUGCGCUUCUCCCGCACUCUCUAUACAGUUUACUCACCUUUAUUUUCCUUCAUAGCUCUUCUCACCUCUGACUCUUCAUUUAUUCUGUGAGAGUCUCUCACAGUGUGAGAUCCACAAGGGCAGGGACUUUGUUUUACUCACUGAUACAUUCCUACUGUCUGGCGCUGUGCGUGGCCUAUGGAGUACUAGUUUCUCAGUAAUAUUUGUAGCAUUAAUGAAUUCUACUAAGAAACUAUUUCACAUGGUUGUUGAUCGAUUAAUAUUUACAAAUUAUUUUCCCAAGGUUAUUCAGCUAUUUAGGUCCAAAUCUGAACCUCUGAUUCUCUCAGUCCAUAGAGCUUUCUUUUGAGCCAUACUGCCUCCCCAAAAGUAACUUGUUUUGGCUUUUCAUCAACUCUGAGAGUUGCAGUGAAACAUUUGUUUUAUGUUAUAAAAAUGUGCCUGUGAAACCUGCAGAUGUACUACCAUUUUUCUGUAGGACACCGUUGGUAUUUAAAGCAACAACAAAAACUCUACUUUAUCCUAGAAUUUUUAAAAUUAUUUUUUAAUUGAAGUAUAGUUGAUGUACAAUAUUAUAUAAGGUACAGAUUACAAUAUAGUGAUUCACAAUUUUUAAAGGUUAAAAUUCACUUAUAGUAAAUGUAAAACUAUAUUGUAUAUUCCCCAUGUCGUACAGUAUAUCCUUGUAGUUUAUUUUAUACCUCCCCCCUUUUCUCUCCCCACUGGUAACAACUAGUUCUCUGUGUCUGUGAAUCUGCUUCUUUUUUGUUAUGUUCACUAGUUUGUUGCUAUUUUUUAGGUUCCACAUAUAAGUGAGAGCAUACAGUACUUGUCUUUCUCUGUCUGACUUAUUUCACUUAGCAUAAUGCCCUCCAACUCCAUCCAUGUUGCUGCAAAUGACAACAUUUCAUUCUUUUUUGGCUGAGUAGUAUUCCACUGUGUGUGUGUGCGUGUGUGUGUGUGUGUGUGUGUGUGUGUGUAUCACAUCACAUUUUCUUUAUCCAUUCAUGUGUUGAUGGACACUUAGGUUGCUUCCGUAUCUUGGCAAUUGUAAAUCCUGCUGCUAUGAAUAUUGGGGUACAUGUGUCUUUUGAAUUAGUGUUUUUGUUUUUUUCAAAUAUAUAGCCAGGAGUGGAAUUGCUGGGUCAUAUGGUAGUUCUGUUUUUAGUUUUUUGAGAAACCGCCAUACUGUUUUCCAUAGUGGCUGCACCAAUUUACAUUCGCACCAAUGAUGUACCAGGCUUCCCUUUUCUCCUCAUUCUUGCCAACAUUUCUUAUUUGUGUUCUUUUUGAUGAUGGCCAUUCUGACAUAUGAGGUGAUAUCUCAUUGUGAUUUUGAUUUGCAUUUCCCCAAUGACUAGCAAUGUUGAGCAUCUUUUCAUGUGACUGCUGGCCAUCUGCAUUUCCUCUUUGGAAAAAUGUCUAUUCAGGUCUUCUGCCCAUUUUUAAAAUUGGGUUGUUUGUUUUUUUUGAUGUUGAGUUGUAUGAGCUGUUAAUAUAUGUUGGAUAUUAACCCCUUAUCAGUCAUAUCACUUGCAGAUAUUUUCUCCCAUUCAGUAGGUUGUCUUUUAGUUUUAUCAGUGGUUUCCUUUGCUGUGCAAAAGCUUUAAGUUUAAUUAGGUCCCAUUUGUUUAUUUUUGCUUUUAUUUCAUUUACUCCAGGAGGUAGCUCCAAAAAAAUACUGCUGCGAUUUAUGUCAAAGAGCGUUCUGCCUGUAUUUUUCUUUUGUGUGUGUGUGUGUGUCAUCACUUCUUGUUUUUCUUAUUUUUUUUAAUUUGGGUAUAGUUGUUUUACAAUAUUGUGUUAGUUUCCACUGUACAGUGAAGUGAAUCAGCCAUAUGUAUACAUAUAUCCCCUCUUUUUUGGAUUUCCUUCCCAUUUAGGUCACCACAGAGCAUUAAGUAGACCCUGUGCUAUACAGCAGGUUCUCAUUAGUUAUCUAUUUUAUACAUAUUAGUGUAUAUAUGUCAAUCCCAAUCUCCCAGUUCAUCCCAGCCCCAUUCCUCCCCUUGGUGUCCAUACGUUUGUUCUCUAUGUCUGUGUCUCUAUUUCUGCCUUGCAAACAGGUUCAUCUGUACCAUUUUUCUAGAUUUGCCUAUGUUUUCCUCUAGCAGUUUUAUGGUAUCUGGUCUUACAUUUAGGUCUUUAAUCCACUUUGAGUUUAUUUUUUGUAUAUGAUGUUAGAGAAUGUUCUAAUUUCAUACUUUUACAUGUAGCUGUCCUGUUUUCCCAGCACCACUUAUUGAAGAGACUACUUUUUCUCCAUUGUAUAGUCUUCCUCCUUUGUCAUAGAUUAAUUGAUAAUAAAUGCAUGGGAUUAUUUCUGGGUUCUCUAUUCUGUUCCACUGAUCUAUAUGUUUGUUUUUGUGCCAGUACCAUACUGGGUUUUUUUGAGUUUUGUUUUUUGUUUUUUUGGGUUUUUUUUUGCUGCAUUGGGUCUUUGUUGCUGCGUGCGGGCUUUCUCUAGUUGCAGCAAGCGGGGGCUACUCUUCGUUGUGGCGCGUGAGCUUCUCAUUGCAGUGGCUUGUCUUGUUGCAGAACACGGACUCUAAGCGCAUGGUCUUCAGUAGUUGUGGCACGUGGGCUCAGUAGUUGUGGCUCAUGGGGUCUAGAGUGCAGGCUCAGUAGUUGUGGCACAUGGGCUUAGUUGCUCCACAGCAUGUGGGAUCUUCCCAGACCAGGGCUUGAACUCGUGUCCUAUGCAUUGGCAGACAGAUUCUCAACCACUGCACCACCA